UGAAGGAGCAUCUGUAAUCAAGAUGGUUAGCAAGGAAACAUUGUAGAAACUCAGCCACACGUUUGGGCCUCAGUCAGACCCAGACUCAGGAGUUUGCCGAGGAAUGACGAGUGUGUUGUGCGACAUAUCUGAACGGCGCUGGUGUAUUUUGCCCGCUCCAUCCCCAGAAGUUGACAGGAUUGGCUCUUUAGUUAUCUGAGAUCCAGGGGUGAUGUCUGGGAGAGGAAGAUGCACGGGGGGGGGUCUUGACUGCUUGGCCCUGAUGUGGCCAGCUGUAGCCCCCUUAAUGCACCGACACAGGCUGCUUGGUCCAACAAGCCAACUCCGGAUUUACCUCACGGGGAUGGAAAAGGUAAAACACAGAAACUACUCACACAGCGGGGCAUUAAACAAGUCCAUGCAGACUUUUACCUUCCUCUCAUGCUCAAGCGUGACGAUCCAGCCAGCUAAAGGCUUUUUCUUCUGUCAGGAGCUCUGUUCCACGUCCGUUCUUUCUCCACUAGGCCUGCUCAUCUGCAGCCAUGCUCUGGGUCUCUUUCUUCUAACCAGUCACAGCGUGGAAAGAUGAUUAUUACCUCGCUGCUGGUGCACUAGGUCCAUGCAGGGGAGGUCCUCCAGACACUCAGGAGAUAAACACUUCAAUCUAGUGAACUCAAUUAACAGACAGUCACACAUAACCACUGCAAGCACUGAAACAAUAAUAGUGCAACUGUGUAAAACUAAUAUCUCCUGGUCACUUUUUGACAUUUUCUCCUAUUCUUUCUAACAACCGCUCUUGUUGCCUCAAAUGUGAAACUAAGGGCCACUUAGGGUUACUAAGGGCCACUUAGGGUUACUAAGUCGUCUGGAACUCACUGCUACCGACUACCAUCACUGUUGUAAAAUAAAGAGCCAAUGUUUCUGUGACUCACUGCAAUCUUUUUUGAGUAUUUCUUUUAUCUGUCUUUCUGAAAAACUGAAAGGUAUUCCUGAGGUUUCCAUAUUAUUGAUAGAUGAAAAUGAAAUGGGGAGGGUAGAAGACAAACAAGAGUGACUGGCAGUUUAUAAGGAGGUCAUCGAGAGGAGUUCUUUUUGUGCUGCAAAUUGCCCAAAAAUAGUUUGUGGUAUCCUGAACAUUUUCAAGAUGGUUGUAUAAUAAGUACUGCCAUAGUUUAUCAGGCUCUGUGAUCAGUGCUCAGGUGAUCAGUUUGACAUGAGUUUUACAGUUUGUGUGACUUUGUGGCAGAUUUGAUGGACUAUGCCUCACGUUGUUUUGCUUGUAACAUUUCAGGAAAAGAAGUCACAAAUGGGUGUAAAGAGUUUCUUGUCAUGAUCCUGUUUCGUUAAUAAAUUAAA